GACGAACGCUGGCGGCGUGCUUAACACAUGCAAGUCGAACGGAAAGGCCCUGCUUUUGUGGGGUGCUCGAGUGGCGAACGGGUGAGUAACACGUGAGUAACCUGCCCUUGACUUUGGGAUAACUUCAGGAAACUGGGGCUAAUACCGGAUAGGAGCUCCUGCUGCAUGGUGGGGGUUGGAAAGUUUCGGCGGUUGGGGAUGGACUCGCGGCUUAUCAGCUUGUUGGUGGGGUAGUGGCUUACCAAGGCUUUGACGGGUGGCCGGCCUGAGAGGGUGACCGGCUACAUUGGGACUGAGAUACGGCCCAGACUCCUACGGGAGGCAGCAGUGGGGAAUAUUGCACAAUGGGCGGAAGCCUGAUGCAGCAACGCCGCGUGCGGGAUGACGGCCUUCGGGUUGUAAACCGCUUUCGCCUGUGACGAAGCGUGAGUGACGGUAAUGGGUAAAGAAGCACCGGCUAACUACGUGCCAGCAGCCGCCGUAACAC
rnacentral:rRNA from 1 species